rnacentral:rRNA from 1 species
GAUGAACGCUAGCGGCAGGCCUAAUACAUGCAAGUCGAGGGGCAGCACAGGGUAGCAAUACCUGGGUGGCGACCGGCAAACGGGUGCGGAACACGUACGCAACCUUCCUCCGAGAGGGGCAUAGCCCGGAGAAAUCCGGAUUAACACCCCGUAAGAUUGUAGAUAGGCAUCUAUCAGCAAUAAAAACUACGGUGCUUGGAGAUGGGCGUGCGUCUGAUUAGGUAGUUGGUGAGGUAACGGCUCACCAAGCCGACGAUCAGUAACUGGCGUGAGAGCGCGACCAGUCACACGGGCACUGAGACACGGGCCCGACUCCUACGGGAGGCAGCAGUAAGGAAUAUUGGUCAAUGGAGGCAACUCUGAACCAGCCAUGCCGCGUGGAGGAUGAAGGUCCUCUGGAUUAUAAACUUCUUUUAUCUGGGAAGAAACGUAUCCUAUCCAGGAUAUUUGACGGUACCAGAAGAAUAAGCACCGGCUAACUCCGUGCCAGCAGCCGCGGUAAUACGGAGGGUGCAAGCGUUAUCCGGAUUCACUGGGUUUAAAGGGUGCGUAGGCGGAAUUGUAAGUCCGUGGUGAAAUCUCCGAGCUUAACUCGGAAACUGCCAUGGAUACUAUACUUCUUGAAUAUUGUGGAGGUUAGCGGAAUAUGUCAU